UACGUAGGGGCGAGCGUUGUCCGGAGUUACUGGGCGUAAAGGGCAUGCAGGCGGUCGGACGCGUUUCGGGUGACAGCGGGUGGCUUAACUACCCGAGUGGUCGAAAGACGGUUUGACUUGAGGACGCGAGAGGGACACGGAAUUCCGGGUGGAGUGGUGAAAUGCGUAGAGAUCCGGAGGAACACCGAAGGCGAAGGCAGUGUCCUGGCGCGUAACUGACGCUGAGGUGCGAAAGCCAGGGGAGCGAACGGG
rnacentral:rRNA from 1 species